rnacentral:rRNA from 1 species
UUGGAGGGCAAGUCUGGUGCCAGCAGCCGCGGUAAUUCCAGCUCCAAUAGCGUAUAUUAAAGUUGUUGCAGUUAAAAAGCUCGUAGUUGAAUUUCGGGGUUAGUAGGCUGGUCGUGCCACAGGUAUGCACUGGUCUUACUGAUUCCCCCUUCCUGAUGAACCGUAAUGCCAUUAAUUUGGUGUUGCGGGGAGUCUGGACUGUUACUUUGAAAAAAUUAGAGUGUUUAAAGCAGGCUAACGCUUGAAUACAUUAGCAUGGAAUAACGAAAUAGGACGUUCGAUCCUAUUUUGUUGGUUUCUAGGAUUGACGUAAUGAUUAAUAGGGAUAGUUGGGGGCAUUAGUAUUCAAUUGUCAGAGGUGAAAUUCUUGGAUUUAUUGAAGACUAACUACUGCGAAAGCAUUUGCCAAGGAUGUUUUCAUUAAUCAAGAACGAAAGUUAGGGGAUCGAAGACGAUCAGAUACCGUCGUAGUCUUAACCAUAAACUAUGCCGACUAGGGAUCGGAUGAUGUUAAUUUUUUAAUGACUCAUUCGGCGCCUUACGGGAAAC